rnacentral:rRNA from 1 species
AUUGAACGCUGGCGGCAGGCCUAACACAUGCAAGUCGAGCGGAUGAAGGGAGCUUGCUCCUGGAUUCAGCGGCGGACGGGUGAGUAAUGCCUAGGAAUCUGCCUGGUAGUGGGGGAUAACGUCCGGAAACGGGCGCUAAUACCGCAUACGUCCUGAGGGAGAAAGUGGGGGAUCUUCGGACCUCACGCUAUCAAAUGAGCCUAGGUCGGAUUAGCUAGUUGGUGGGGUAAAGGCCUACCAAGGCGACGACCCGUAACUGGUCUGAGAGGAUGAUCAGUCACACUGGAACUGAGACACGGUCCAGACUCCUACGGGAGGCAGCAGUGGGGAAUAUUGGACAAUGGGCGAAAGCCUGAUCCAGCCAUGCCGCGUGUGUGAAGAAGGUCUUCGGAUUGUAAAGCACUUUAAGUUGGGAGGAAGGGCAGUAAGUUAAUACCUUGCUGUUUUGACGUUACCAACAGAAUAAGCACCGGCUAACUUCGUG